rnacentral:rRNA from 1 species
UAAUCGCGGAUCAGAAUGCCGCGGUGAAUACGUUCCCGGGUCUUGUACACACCGCCCGUCACACCAUGGGAGUCGGAAAUGCCCGAAGUCUGUGACCCAACCUGAGAGGGAGGGAGCAGCCGAAGGCAGGUCUGAUGACUGGGGUGAAGUCGUAACAAGGUACC